rnacentral:rRNA from 1 species
AGGAUGUCGCUGAUUGACAGAUUUCCUGAAGUCCCCUGGAAUGGGGUGCCGUAGAGGGUGAGAGCCCCGUGCAGGAAGACUGGAUGGUCAUUAUGCGGCUCCUUCGGCGAGUCGAGUAGUUUGGGAAUGCUGCUCUAAAUGGGAGGUAAAUUCCUUCUAAGGCUAAAUAUCGGCCGGAGACCGAUAGCGCACAAGUAGAGUGAUCGAAAGAUGAAAAGCACUUUGAAAAGAGGGUUAAACAGUACGUGAAAUUGUUGAAAGGGAAGCGCCCGCGACCAGACUUGUAUUCGAGUGAUCCCCUAGCGUUCGUCGGUAGGAAUACUCAUUCGGCAUAUCAGGCCAGCAUCGGUUGGUGGUCAGGGGAUAAGUGCAGUGGGAACGUAGCUUUUUCUCCGGAGAAAGUGUUAUAGCCCGUUGUAGAGUACCUUGACACUGAUCGAGGCCCGCGCAUUUGCACGGAUGCUGGCAUAAUGGUCGCUGGCGACCCGUCUUGAAACACGGACCAAGGAGUCGAGGUUUUCCGCGAGUGUGCGGGUGGUAAACCCGCCCGCGAAAUGAAAGUGAACGCAGGUGAGAGCCUUCAGUGGCGCACCACCGACCGAUCUCGCAGUUCUCUGCAGGAAUCGAGUACGAGCGGAAAGCCUCGGACCCGAAAGAUGACGAACUAUGCCUGCAUAGAAUGAAGCCAGAGGAAACUCUGGUGGAGGUUCGCAGCGGUUCUGACGUGCAAAUCGAUCGUCAAAUGUGGGCAUGGGGGCGAAAGACUAAUCGAGUCAUCUAGUAGCUGGUUACCGCCGAAGUUUCCCUCAGGAUAGCAGUGUUGUGCCUUCAGUUUUAUGAGGUAAAGCGAAUGAUUAGGGACCCGGGGGCGGCUUUGCGCCUUCAUCCAUUCUCAAACUUUAAAUAUGUAAGAAGUUCUCGUUACUUUGUUGAACGGGAGCAUUCGAAUGAAGCAACACUAGUGGGCCAUUUUUGGUAAGCAGAACUGGCGAUGCGGGAUGAACCGAACGCGGGGUUAAGGUGCCGGAGUGGACGCUCAUCAGACACCACAAAAGGCGUUAGUACAUCUGGACAGCAGGACGGUGGCCAUGGAAGUCGGAAUCCGCUAAGGACUGUGUAACAACUCACCUGCCGAAUGUACUAGCCCUGAAAAUGGAUGGCGCUCAAGCGUCCCACCCAUACCCCGCCCCCAAGGCAGCACCGAUGCCUUGGGGAGUAGGCGGCCGUGGAGGUCAGUGACGAAGCCUUGGGCGUGAGCCCGGGUUGAACGGCC